GGACAGGAGGGUGAGCUAGUUGCCACGUCUGUCCCCCAUUGAUUGUCAGAGCUAAUCUGGCUGACCUGGCCGCCUAGGUGAGCGUCCCUUCCUCUGUCGCCACCCUGGGUGUCCUUCCCAAAGCUAUGUGUUUAGUAGAAGAGGAUGUCUUUCCCUGAUAGAAGAGGGCUGCUCUUUGGUCAAGGCUCUAUGAGUCACAGCAUUCCCCUGCUAGACUCUCCAAACAAGCCCUCAAAAAUCCCACAGCAAAUAACACACUUGGCAAAAAUAUUAAAUGCUUUGUCCCCAUAAUGAGACCAAGAAAGGAUGACUCCUCUUCUUG
rnacentral:snRNA from 1 species